UGGUGAUACUCGACCUGUUG
rnacentral:siRNA from 1 species